rnacentral:rRNA from 1 species
UAUUUGACAAUGGGGGAAACCCUGAACCAGCGACGCCGCGUGAGUGAAGAAGUAUUUCGGGGUGUAAAGCUCUAUUAGCAGGGAAGAAAGAAAUGACGGUACAUGAGUAAGAAGCCCCGGCUAACUACGUGCCAGAAGCCGUGGUAAUACGUAGGGGGCAAGCGUUAUCCGGAAUUACUGGGUGUAAAGGGAGCGUAGACGGUUAAGCAAGUCUGGAGUGAAAGGCGGGGGCCCAACCCCCGGACUGCUCUGGAAACUGUGUAACUAGAGUGCAGGAGAGGUAAGCGGAAUUCCUAGUGUAGCGGUGAAAUGCGUAGAUAUUAGGAGGAACACCAGUGGCGAAGGCGGCUUACUGGACUGUAACUGACGUUGAGGCUCGAAAGCGUGGGGAGCAAACAGG